rnacentral:rRNA from 1 species
AGCAUAUCAAUAAGCGGAGGAAAAGAAACCAACAGGGAUUGCCUCAGUAACGGCGAGUGAAGCGGCAACAGCUCAAAUUUGAAAUCUGGCCUCACGGUCCGAGUUGUAAUUUGUAGAGGAUGUUUCGGGCACCGCCGCGGUGUAAAUUUCUUGGAACAGAAUGUCAGAGAGGGUGAGAAUCCCGUCUUCGACCGCGGUAGGACCCAUGUGAAACUCCUUCGACGAGUCGAGUUGUUUGGGAAUGCAGCUCAAAAUGGGUGGUAAAUUUCAUCUAAAGCUAAAUAUUGGCCAGAGACCGAUAGCGCACAAGUAGAGUGAUCGAAAGAUGAAAAGCACUUUGAAAAGAGAGUUAAACAGUAUGUGAAAUUGUUGAAAGGGAAGCGCUGGCAACCAGACUCGAGCGCGGUGGUUCCCCCCGGCUUCUGCCGGGGUUACUCCACCGUGACCGGGCCAUCAUCAGUUUUGGGGGUCGGUCAAAGGCGCCGGGAAUGUACCCACUCCUUCGGGGGUGGACUUAUAGCCCGGCGUGUCAUGCGACCUCCCGGGACUGAGGAACGCGCUUCGGCGAGGAUGAUGGCGUAAUGGUUGUCAGCGACCCGUCUUGAAACACGGACCAAGGAGUCUAACAUCUAUGCGAGUGUUCGGGUGUCAAACCCUUGCGCGUAAUGAAAGUGAACGGAGGUAGGAAGGCCUGAGCCUGCACUAUCGACCGAUCCUGAUGUCUUCGGAUGGAUUUGAGUAAGAGCAUAGCUGUUGGGACCCGAAAGAUGGUGAACUAUGCGUGAAUAGGGUGAAGCCAGAGGAAACUCUGGUGGAGGCUCGCAGCGGUUCUGACGUGCAAAUCGAUCGUCAAAUUUGCGUAUAGGGGCGAAAGACUAAUCGAACCAUCUGGUAGCUGGUUCCUGCGA